rnacentral:rRNA from 1 species
GAUGAACGCUGGCGGCGUGCCUAAUACAUGCAAGUCGAGCGAACAGACGAGGAGCUUGCUCCUCUGACGUUAGCGGCGGACGGGUGAGUAAAACGUGGAUAACCUACCUAUAAGACUGGGAUAACUUCGGGAAACCGGAGCUAAUACCGGAUAAUAUAUUGAACCGCAUGGUUCAAUAGUGAAAGACGGUUUUGCUGUCACUUAUAGAUGGCUCCGCGCCGCAUUAGCUAGUUGGUAAGGUAACGGCUUACCAAGGCGACGAUGCGUAGCCGACCUGAGAGGGUGAUCGGCCACACUGAGACUGAGACACGGUCCAGACUCCUACGGGAGGCAGCAGUAGGGAAUCUUCCGCAAUUGGCGAAAGCCUGACGGAGCAACGCUGCGUGAGUGAUGAAGGUCUUCGGAUCGUAAAACUCUGUUAUUAGGGAAGAACAAAUGUGUAAGUAACUAUGCACGUCUUGACGGUACCUAAUCAGAAAGCCACGGCUAACUACGUG